AUAGGGUGCGAGCGUUAUCGGAUUAUUGGGCGUAAAGAGCUCGUAGGCGGUUCGACAAGUCGGGUGUUAAACCCCCAGGCUCAACCUGGGGCCGCCACCCGAAACUGUCGUGACUAGAGUUUGGUAGGGGAUCACGGAAUUCCUGGUGUAGCGGUGGAAUGCGCAGAUAUCAGGAGGAACACCAGUAGCGAAGGCGGUGAUCUGGGCCAAUACUGACGCUGAGGAGCGAAAGCGUGGGGAGCGAACAGGAUUAGAUACCCUGGUAGUCCACGCCGUAAACGGUGGGCACUAGGUGUGGGGACUUUUCAACGGUUUCCGCGCCGCAGCUAACGCAUUAAGUGCCCCGCCUGGGGAGUACGGGCGCAAGACUAAAACUCAAAGAAAUUGACGGGGGCCCGCACAAGCAGCGGAGCAUGUGGCUUAAUUCGAUGCAACGCGAAAAACCUUACCUAGAUUUGACAUGCUGGGAAAAGCCACAGAGAUGUGGUGUCCUUCGGGGCCCAGCACAGGUGGUGCAUGGCUGUCGUCAGCUCGUGUCGUGAGAUGUUGGGUUAAGUCCCGCAACGAGCGCAACCCUUGUUCUAUGUUGCCAGCACGUAAUGGUGGGGACUCGUAGAAGACUGCCGGGGUCAACUCGGAGGAAGGUGGGGACGACGUCAAGUCAUCAUGCCCCUUACGUCUAGGGCUGCACACAUGCUACAAUGGGCGGUACAGAGGGCUGCUAAACCGCGAGGUGGAGCCAAUCCCCAAAACCGCUCUCAGUUCAGAUUGCAGGCUGCAACUCGCCUGCAUGAAGUUGGAGUUGCUAGUAAUCCCGGAUCAGCACU
rnacentral:rRNA from 1 species